rnacentral:rRNA from 1 species
AUUGAACGCUGGCGGCAUGCCUUACACAUGCAAGUCGAACGGUAACAGGUCUUCGGAUGCUGACGAGUGGCGAACGGGUGAGUAAUACAUCGGAACGUGCCUAGUAGUGGGGGAUAACUACUCGAAAGAGUGGCUAAUACCGCAUGAGACCUACGGAUGAAAGCAGGGGAUCGCAAGACCUUGUGCUACUAGAGCGGCCGAUGGCAGAUUAGGUAGUUGGUGGGAUAAAAGCUUACCAAGCCGACGAUCUGUAGCUAGUCUGAGAGGACGAUCAGCCACACUGGGACUGAGACACGGCCCAGACUCCUACGGGAGGCAGCAGUGGGGAAUUUUGGACAAUGGGCGAAAGCCUGAUCCAGCAAUGCCGCGUGCAGGAUGAAGGCCCUCGGGUUGUAAACUGCUUUUGUACGGAGCGAAAAGCCCCGGGUUAAUACCCUGGGGUCAUGACGGUACCGUAAGAAUAAGCACCGGCUAACUACGUGCCAGCAGCCGCGGUAA